rnacentral:rRNA from 1 species
UAAGGAGCUUGCUCCUUUGACGUUAGCGGCGGACGGGUGAGUAACACGUGGAUAACCUACCUAUAAGACUGGGAUAACUUCGGGAAACCGGAGCUAAUACCGGAUAAGAUUUUGAACCGCAUGGUUCAAUAGUGAAAGACGGCCUUGCUGUCACUUAUAAAUGGAUCCCCGCCGUAUUAGCUAGUUGG